UAGGGAAUCUUCCACAAUGGACGCAAGUCUGAUGGAGCAACGCCGCGUGAGUGAAGAAGGUUUUCGGACCGUAAAGCUCUGUUGUUGGUGAAGAAGGAUAGAGGUAGUAACUGGCCUUUAUUUGACGGUAAUCAACCAGAAAGUCACGGCUAACUACGUGCCAGCAGCCGCGGUAAUACGUAGGUGGCAAGCGUUGUCCGGAUUUAUUGGGCGUAAAGCGAGCGCAGGCGGAAGAAUAAGUCUGAUGUGAAAGCCCUCGGCUUAACCGAGGAAUUGCAUCGGAAACUGUUUUCUUGAGUGCAGAAGAGGAGAGUAGAACUCCAUGUGUAGCGGUGGAAUGCGUAGAUAUAUGGAAGAAUACCAGUGGCGAAGGCGGCUCUCUGGUCUGCAACUGACGCUGAGGCUCGAAAGCAUGGGUAGCGAACAGGAUUAGAUACCCUGGUAGUCCAUGCCGUAAAACGAUGAGUGCUAAGUGUUGGGAGGCUUCCGCCUCUCAGUGCUGCAGCUAACGCAUUAAGCACUCCGCCUGGGGGAGU
rnacentral:rRNA from 1 species